rnacentral:lncRNA from 1 species
CAAUAAUUCAUUUUCUAUGAUGAAGUGUUUCUUUCCUUCUGUGGCAUGGAACAGGACUUAGCACAGAGUCACACUAUGUACAUAUGGAAUGAUGAAUAGGACGAACAAAUUGUAUAUGGCAUCGGUAUUCAUCUUACUACAACAAAAUGUUAAAGCAAAUAAGAUGGAAUAACAACUAAUAUUUAGUUUAAGGUACUUUUCUAUGGGGUGUGUGUGUGUGUGUGUGUGUGUUUUACUAGCAGUAGGUACUGGGCUCUGUAUGGUAUAUUAGUAAGAGAGUUCAAGCAAGGCAAGCAGUUGUACUUGUGAACCUAUUCUCUUAACCCCUGUGUGAUAAUGCUAUCAGAGAACACAUAGACUAGAAGGGCUUCAGUCUUAGAUGACAUUAUUAAGCUACUGCUCAGACAUCCCUGGAAUCAGACCUACUCCUAGACUUCCAAUUAUAUUAUACGUCAUUGUUUAUAAUAAUACUAAGUAAAGAUUUUUGUUAAGUGAGUAUAAAAGUGUCUUGACUGAGUCCUCAAACUGACCAUCGGGCUGUCUGAUACCGUUGUAGACCUGAUUGAAAAUUCUUGAUCUGGCCACAUACCCUGUUUACAUUGAUGCAGAUUCAACUGGGUGAAAUAACUGUGAACUGGGCAUGUGAAGAGAAAGCUGAAAGCCAUGAUCUCAAGAUGGAAACUUCAGUAUCCAGCAAAGGUAUUUAUAAUCUUGAGACAGACAGAACACUUUCUACCAGUGCAGUGCUCUCACAACCAACAAAUCUAGAUUUUGCGUUUACUAAUACUGGUAUCUCCCAUGGGAUAGGAAAGGAAAACAGUUCCUUUUCUUUAAGGACCUGUCUGCAGCAGCCUCCAACUUUGGGUAUCCCUAAUUAUGCUAAGUCCUUCUGUCUUUUUGUUUAUGAAAGAGGAGAUUGUGAAUUAGGACUACUAACAUGGUAAAGUAGUUUUAUACCAGACCCAUGCUUUUAGCCUAACCCUCCACUCAAAAGGGUAAAGCAUAGAUUUCUGCUUGUGUGAAGUAUCAGUGGCGGCCAAACUGCUCUGUGCUAACUUGACAGGUUCCACAUGCAGAUAACUCUGGUUAAUUCUUAAUUUACCACAUGAAGACUCAUGAAAAGUUUUUAUUGUUUGUACUACCAUUAAACUUUGUUAAAAUCUUAAUCCUGCGAGUUUACUUCUUCUACGUGGAGAACCAAAUGUCUAUUUAGUAGUAACUCAAGAAUUAAGAAUGUUCAAUUAUGAUUGUACAGAUCCCUCUUAUUCAAUACUAAAUUAAUAUUGUUUGAUAUGGCUCUUAUCUUAGAAAUGGUGAAGGCGUUCGUUAUGUGGGAUAUGCUGUUACCACUGAACUUGAAGUUAUCAAAGAAGUUCUAUUCUUAACCCUUAAUCUGCUCAGGUAACUAAACUCAACAUCUCCAAUUUGAGCAUGAACUCUGGAAAAAGCUUAAAAAGUAAACCCUUAUGCAAAUAGUAGAUGUGCUUUCCGAGUUUUGUGCUAUUUGACAAUAUAUGGCUGAAAUACACAGGUCUAUUGAAAAUGGUAAAUAACAGUGCAGUUUAAAAAGCUAUUCAAUGCAGCAAAGUGCUAUCUGUAAAUAAACUAGUACUCCAUAUUAGAGACCACUCCUGAAGCUAAGGGCAAUGGCUUGUCUUAUUCCGUUGGUAAAUGUGGCAUUUACCCACCCAAUAUAUUAAGUGCUAAUAAAUUGAUAAAAUUGUGAUUGACUCAAAGCAAUCAGCUCAAAAUUCUGAAAAAAUAUAUAUCCACUAUCAGAGGACUUCUCCGUCUUUAAUGAUGGAUACUGGUGAUUUUAUCCUGGCUUCCUAGAAACAUUACAUUUCCAGGUCAAAUUGCUUCUUUAUUGCUCUUUAUAUAAUUAAAAAGAUAGUUUCUACAUGGCUCAUCUAUAAGCAGCAAAAUCCUGAGACUAUGUAAAGAUGAAAAAUUGUUCAGGGCUUCCUCCUCAAAGUCUUAUCAAGCAUUUAUUUACAAAUGAAUUUCAUGCAACAGCCCAAAUAUUUAUGAGUAUAUUUUAUAAAGUUCUUGUUUAUAAAGUUUCUGGUUAGCUAUGAUAUUUUCAUUGAUAGAGGGCUAUAGUUGAUGAAGUGACAAAAAUACUAUUUAGGUUGGUGCAAAAGUAAUGUCAAAGACUGCAAUCAAUUUUGCACCAAACUAAAUACUACACUCUUUAUUCCCUACACAGAAAGAGCCCAUCAACCUUCUUCUCUUACUGAAGAAAUUAGUUCACUGUUUAUAUCACCCCCAGUUAUUAGGAAAAUUAGUAACAGUAAACAUGAUGCUAAAGUUAAAAUCGUCCAAACUAUAAGAAUUUGCUUCUCUGUCUUGGCCUAAAAUUUUUUCACUAACAUUAGUGGUCAUGGAAAAAAUCUCAGAGUACAAAGCAACUUUCUCCCUGUGAGAUCGUAUCAAAACAUUUCACGGAAUUUGUAAUAUUUAGAAAAAUUUUACCAGUAACUGGCUUCAUGUUACACAUAGAUGUAGCUAAAUGCAGUCAAGGACUUACUUGUUAUACUUAUAAUUAGAUUUAGCAAGUACAAGCCACCUUCCAAACAUUGCAUGAUUUCCAGCAUGGAAACUGGAUCUACUGGAAGAGAGACUAAUAGUAAUACAAAAGUUGUUUAUCCUUGCUUGAAGAGAACAUUUUAUAUCCUUCUGAGCAUAGCAAUAGCAGUCAAGAUUCAAAACAGUGCAGGCAUACUACUAACCUGUACACCAGUGGAAUUUUACACUCAUGAGUGAGCUCAAAUUAACACCAUUUAAUAAAAAACCUCCAGAAGCCUAGGACUUUAAGACUCAAAUUGUGUUCCCAAGAAGAUGACAAGAUAUGGCUGCUUAUAUCCAAUACAGUGGCACAUGACACACCAGAAUAAUUUUCUUAAUUCAUUUUCCUUUGGAAAUUUUUGGAUGCUAUCCUCCUGCUGCUUUAAUUCAAAUACUUUGAAGUCAUUGCUUUUGUUUAUGAUAGCUUUGUUAUAAUCAAUAUACAUGAUUAGAGUUUGCCUAUAAAUUUUCAAUAAGAUUUAAUAUAUCAAAAUAUAGAGAAUAUGAACACUUCUUUUUUCAAGCACAGUAUCUUCCCAUGAGACUAGUCCUACGUAAUUCUAGUCACUAUCUCUUCCUGUGAUACCUUGUGGAGGCACAAUGUCACUGCUCAGAUGUUAUAUGGGUAACAAGAUCUGAAUGGGACACAGAGCUGGCAGCAAUUCAAUUCUGAAAAUAAAAAUGGAAACACAAAACGGCCAUCACAAACAAUGCAUAUCAUUUUUAAUAAUGUUUAAUACAUGUAGAUGUAAUUAUCAGGGAAAAAAAUAUGAUAGGUCAUUUUUAUUUAAGAAUUCCCUAAGCUUUGAUAUUUGGGUAAUUCCUUCUCCCUAAAACUAUGAUGUGGAACUAGAGGGUUGUGGAAGUUACCAGUUGAUUAGAUGGGUGCCUAUAAUUUGGCCUAUUUUAUCAUAAUCUUUAGAAUCUGUUAAAUUUCUUUUUUGAGAUGGAGUCUGGCUCUGUCACCCAGUCUUUAAAUUGGCAAUUUUGACAAAUGAUUUUGUGAGGUGUUGUUAACUGUGCUAGAAAUUGUGAAUGUUAAGUUGUUUAUAUGCUACCCAAUUAAAUGUCAUCCAGCCACUCAAAAAUGUUCUGACAUUUUUCAGUGGGUUUCUUCAAAUUUGCUAUCAAUAUCAUUUUUUUGUAAAUACGCCAAAAAAAAAAUGCAAAAAGAAGGUAAAAAAUUUUGUUGUCUAAUGCUCCAAAAUGAAAUCAGAAACUGAUCUAAAAUCUGAAUUAGCCAAUGCAAUAUAGAUUUUGAUAACUCAAUCAAAAUAAUGAAAAACAGAUAAUCUUUUCAUUAUGAAAAAGGAAAUGAAGAUAACAGAUACAAUGACAUCCAACUACAAGAUGGUUUUGGACACAUUUUUAACAACCAAACCAGUGCCAAACCAAAAUGAAAGAAAUGUCUUUAUUUUUCAAAUGUGUGUUGCUAAAGGUCAAAAUAGUUGGUGCUCUAGUUCCAUUGGGCUGCUAUGACAAAAUAUCAUAAAUUGGGUGGCUUAUAAACAGCAGAAAUUUAUUUAUCACAGUUCUGGUGAAUGAAAAGAAGUCCGAGAUCAAGGCACAGGUAGGUUUAAGGUCUAGUGAAAGUCAAUUUCAUAGGUGUUCAUAGAGGGUGCCUUCUUUUAUGUUCUUUCAUGGUAGAAGGGCUAUAGGUUUUUAUCAGAUUCUUUAAUAAGGGCACUAAUCCCAUUCAUGAGACCUCUGUCCUCAUGACCCAGUCACCUCCCAAAAAGGUCCAUCUCCUAUUAUUAUUACUUUGGAGGUUAGCAUUUCAACAUACAAAUUUUUGGGAGACACACUUUUUUUUGGCCAAAUUAAUAAACCUCUGUAUUCCUCAAUUUACUCUUGUAUAAAUGGUGAUAAUAAGAAUGCACACUAUAAAUUAGGGAUGGAAUUUGUUAAGAUAAUGAGCGUAAAGUGCAGCAUGAUGUAUUGUCCACUGAAAGAACUUAAUAGAUGUUAGCAAAAAUUACCAUAAACAGUGAUAGGACAGUGUAUAAUGCAAACUGAUGGCUAUAGAAGAGAUAUAUAGAUGUAGUUCUGGAAACUCAGAACAGGAAACAAUUACUGUUGCCUGGAUGUUUUAAGAAAGCCUUAGUUGAGGAGAGGAACUGGAGUAAAAACAUAAUAAUACAGGGAUUUUUCAGUUAGGGAGAGUAACCCAGUCAGAGAAAAUGUCCACUCCAUCAGGAUGUCAAUUCCACAAAAGGGAUAUUGUCUUUGGAUUUUGGCACUGGGCGUGUUAUCAAUUAAGGACUUAUUUAUUGAAUUAAAUUGAAUUACAGGAAUCAAAAUAGAUAUGCCAAAAAUUGUGAAUACUUCAAUAUGACUACAGAAUACAAUAUUUAAUAAGCAGAAAGCUAUAUGAGAUGAGACUGGAGAAAAACUUGAUAUACUUUAUACUUCAGGCUAGUAUUAUCAGAAUUCCUUUUAUU